UUCUACUUCCUCCGUUUCACUCUUUCACUGUCUCAUUCGAAUCCAACUCCAUUUCCUUCUCAUGCGCCAUGAAAACUAGGGUUCGAGUUUGAUCCCCUCUCUCUCUCUCUCUCUCUCUUUAGAAAGCACUGAUCGAUGGCUUCGUCUUCUCUACUCUUACCCGAACUCAAAUUUCUUGCUCCCCAAAUUACCCCCAAGCGUCGUAUUUCUCUCUCUAGAUUUUGCUCUUGCUGUUCCGUUUCUAGGAACUCGAGGUACAAUGUUACUCUACGCACGCGAAUCCGUGCCGUUAAGGAAGAAGGUGCCUUGAUUGAAGAGACGCGGAGGAGCGAGUUGGACGAAAGAGUGAGUGAUGUGAAAUGGAGUGGCAAUGGAGUUGCUGCAAGUGUUGUGAGCGAAAACGGUAGCAAUGGUUCGGUUAAAGGUUACGUGAAUGGCAGCUUGGGCGUUGGGGAGAGUGAGAAUGGAGUUGUCAAUGGAAGCUUGGUGAAGUAUGUUAAUGGCAAUGGCGUAGCAGCGGAAGAAUUUGGUGAAGCUUCGAAACGGAGGGAGGAUGGGAGGAAGAAGAGGUUGGAGGAGAUUGGCAAAGAAGAAGCGUGGUUCAAACAAAGUGGGGAAGCUCAGGUUGAGGUGGCGGCUGCGCCUGGAGGUCGUUGGAGCAGAUUCAAGACUUACUCGACGAUCCAGAGAACGUUGGAAAUUUGGGGAUUUGUUAUAACAUUUAUCUUCAAGGCUUGGCUGAAUAAUCAGAAGUUCUCUUACAGAGGAGGAAUGACUGAGGAAAAGAAAACCAUAAGGCGAAAGGCCCUUGCAAAAUGGCUGAAAGAAAGCAUUCUGAGAUUAGGUCCUACAUUUAUCAAAAUUGGUCAGCAAUUCUCCACGAGGGUGGACAUUCUUCCUCAAGAAUAUGUUGACCAGUUGUCAGAACUUCAGGAUCAAGUUCCUCCGUUUCCCUCGGAGACUGCUAUAGCUAUUGUUGAAGAAGAGCUUGGAGCUCCUGUAGGUGACAUCUUUGAUCAAUUUGAGUAUGAACCAAUAGCUGCUGCAAGUCUUGGUCAGGUUCAUCGUGCGAGAUUAAAGGGAAAGGAUGUUGUUGUUAAAGUACAAAGGCCUGGUCUCAAGGGUCUUUUUGAUAUCGACCUUAAAAACCUGAGGGUUAUUGCUGAAUAUCUUCAAAAAGUUGAUCCUAAAUCAGAUGGUGCAAAGAGGGAUUGGGUUGCUAUUUAUGAUGAGUGUGCCUCCGUGUUAUAUCAGGAGAUUGAUUACACCAAGGAAGCUGCUAAUGCAGAACUAUUUGCAAGUAACUUUAAGAACUUGGAUUAUGUGAAAGUCCCUACAAUAUUCUGGGAUUAUACCACACCACAGAUUCUGACAAUGGAAUAUGUUCCAGGGAUUAAAAUAAACAAAAUACAAGCAAUAGAUCAGCUGGGUGUUGACCGGCAAAGGUUAGGGCGAUAUGCUGUUGAGUCGUACUUGGAGCAGAUUCUAUCGCAUGGCUUCUUCCAUGCUGACCCGCAUCCUGGAAAUAUUGCGGUUGAUGAUGUCAAUGGUGGAAGAUUGAUCUUUUAUGAUUUUGGAAUGAUGGGAAGUAUCAGUCCAAAUAUCCGAGAAGGUUUACUCGAAGCUUUUUAUGGAAUUUAUGAGAAGAAUCCCGAUAAGGUCCUUCAAUCAAUGAUUCAAAUGGGUGUUCUUGUCCCAACUGGAGAUAUGACUGCUGUUAGACGAACAGCACAGUUCUUCCUCAAUAGUUUUGAAGAGCGUCUGGCUGCACAAAGGAGAGAGAGAGAGAUAGCAACAGCUGAACUUGGAUUCAAAAAGCCAUUAAGCAAGGAGGAAAAAGUAAAUAAGAAGAAAGAACGCCUGGCUGCUAUUGGUGAAGAUUUACUAUCCAUUGCAGGAGACCAGCCCUUCCGAUUUCCUGCUACAUUCACAUUUGUUGUUAGAGCCUUCUCAGUGUUGGAUGGCAUUGGAAAGGGCCUUGACCCCCGUUUUGAUAUUACUGAGAUUGCCAAACCUUAUGCUAUGGAGUUGUUAAGAUUCCGUGAGGCAGGAGUUGAAGUUAUCCUAAAGGACUUCAGAAAGAGAUGGGACAGACAAUCUCAAGCAUUUUACAACUUAUUUAGACAGGCUGAUAGGGUUGAAAAGCUUGCUGAAAUCAUCCAAAGAUUGGAGCAAGGUGAUCUGAAGCUCCGAGUCCGAACUUUGGAAUCUGAGAGGGCAUUCCAACGAAUUGCCACUUUUCAGAAGACAAUAGGGAAUGCAGUAGCUGCUGGUAGCCUAAUAAAUCUUGCAACAGUUCUGUAUCUUAAUUCAAUUAGGGUGCCUGCCGUCAUAGCAUAUGUUUUUUGUGCAAUCUUUGGUUUUCAAGUUCUUUUGGGCAUUGUGAAGAUCAAGAAGUUAGAUGAACGGGAACGAUUGAUUACAGGAACUGCAUAAGCAACUACUAGAGGCAGUUAAAUAAUUGAGAUACAACUAGAGGGUUUAGCUGUAAAUGUUGCAGAUUUAGAAUUGACAUGUAGCUCAAGUUAAGGUCAAUGGUUACAAGUCAACCUCUAGAGCAUCGAAAGGAUUAGGAGCUCAAAGUAAUAGCCAACAUCCUGGAAGACAUCAGCAUGCGCAAAAAAACUUUCAACUGACGGACGUGCUGGAGGCUUCUGUACACUUGAUUACAUUGCUAAAAGGAUGGGGCUCUGACGUAGCCAAUUGGCUAGCUACACUUUUUGUAACAUAAACCCACCAACCCCCCUCCGCCGCCGGCCCUCCCCUACCCCUAUAAUAUAUUCUCAAAUAAUAGUUUAUUAGUGUUUUUGUACCUCAUAUCCGUAAAGUAAAUUUUAUAUGCAUAUGUUAUCAAAAAAAAAAAAAAUUAUAUGCAUAAGUCUAGGGUUUAUUGUUGUAUUUACCAUAUGGUAUGGUAUAGCUUAUUAGCUUCCAACAAAAUUUGACAGUGGGAAGCUUUGCUUGUAACUGACGAAAAUAAAUUUGUCCAAUGAAAAUGCAAAUGUAAUUAUUUGCUAUCCA